AAUCCAUGUGAUUGCAGUGCUCGCCAGUAAGCAAACGCAUAAUCUAUAUCCUGCUCGUGCUUCUCGAGAACGUUUCUUUCCUGCGGCAAGCCUGCGAUGCAAGGACAUUGGAGUUCUCGUUUCCACGUCAAGAUGUUGGAGCAGUACUCAAGAAGGCAGGGGUCCCUCCUUCCGAACAAUCGUAAUGUUGGAGUACGAAAGCAAAGUCGAACUCGAUGUCCGAUACAAAUAUCAUCCUUGACAAAAGCUCCUAUCCUCAUUUUUUUAAUCCGAGCACAGCACACUCGAUCUCUAUCAUUCUCCCCG
rnacentral:lncRNA from 1 species